UGCCCAGCAACUCCUAUCCCUACCUCCUCGCGGUACCGGCCGGAAACCAACCCCGGUGGGAACUUUGGUCAUAGGCUGACAGGGGAGG
rnacentral:ribozyme from 1 species